ACAGAAUCUCAGACAAACAGAUUUCAAGUUUCAUGCAGACUCAAUGGUGUAUGAGAGCCAAAAAAGAAAAAGAAGAGAGUUCAGCGAAUGACCUUCAAUGACUCCAAGUCAGUCAGAACAAAAAGCAGCAGUGAACAGUGGGAAUGAAGUCAGUGAUGGUCAGAGUUGGAUUUCAUCCUAUUUUGAUUGCAUCCAGUAAAAACAAACAUAUGUUCCACAGAGAAAUGUAAAAGUUCAACGGGGGAUUGCAAAUGUUCCUGCCUGACCUCUGCAUCCCU